rnacentral:rRNA from 1 species
GACGAACCGUGCGAACGUUAUUCGGAAUCACUGGGCUUAAAGGGCGCGUAGGCGGGUUCUCAAGUCAGGGGUGAAAUCCCGCGGCUCAACCGUGGAAGUGCCUUUGAUACUGGGGACCUCGAGGGAGGUAGGGGCGUGCGGAACUUCCGGUGGAGCGGUGAAAUGCGUAGAGAUCAGGAAGAACAUCGGUGGCGAAGGCGCUCUGCUGGACCAUAACUGACACUCAGGGACGAAAGCUAGGGGAGCGAAUGGG